rnacentral:siRNA from 1 species
AUCAAAUAGUGAAAAGUGACUA